GACGAACGCUGGCGGCGUGCUUAACACAUGCAAGUCGAACGGAAAGGCCCUGCUUUUGUGGGGUGCUCGAGUGGCGAACGGGUGAGUAACACGUGAGUAACCUGCCCUUGACUUUGGGAUAACUUCAGGAAACUGGGUCUAAUACCGGAUAGGAGCUCCUGCUGCAUGGUGGGGGUUGGAAAGUUUCGGCGGUUGGGGAUGUACUCGGGGCUUAUCAGCUUGGUGGUGGGGUAGUGGCUUACCAAGGCUUUGACGGGUAGCCGGCCUGAGAGGGUGACCGGCCACAUUGGGACUGAGAUACGGCCCAGAAUCCUAAGGGAGGGAGCAGGGGGGAAUAUUGCACAAUGGGCGGAAGCGUGAUGCAGCAACGCCGCGUGCGGGAUAACGGCCUUCGGGUUGUAAACCGCUUUCGCCUGUGACGAGGCGUGAGUGACGGUAAUGGGUGAAGAAGCACCGGCUAACUACGUG
rnacentral:rRNA from 1 species